UGGAGGAAUAGCGAAGUGGCUAAACGCGGCGGUCUGUAAAACCGCUCUCUCUGAGUUCGGUGGUUCGAAUCCACUUUCCUCCAU
rnacentral:tRNA from 1 species